UCUGCACAUUCUUAAAACUCAGUGCUGAGGUCAGUCCCUGGCCAAUGAACUCUGGGUGUCGGAGGUGUGCUAUAGUAAAUUGGCAGGAGUUUCGCUAACACCACUAGAGUCUGACUUAAUGAGUGGGGUUUGAUAGUAGUUCCUGCUACACCU